GGACAAACUCUCAUCCAACAAGCAACUGAGUCGGACUCGAGAGUUGGGGGGUAAGUGUUGGGGUGGAUUCCCGUAACUUAGCUGACUUUCCCUGCCUUCUCGUUCUGAAGCCGACUAGGCAAACUCCACCGGCAAAUCAGCAAUCAACCCUACUCAGCCAUACGGGAUUCUCCUUCGAUCGAAUAGACAUCGAGCACCAUUGAUGACAUCCAACCGACUGAAGGUUGGUCUUUCCUAGUCGGCGCUACCCCGAUUAAAGUUAAUGUGCCUCCCAUGGCCUUCGGCUUGCAACCGACUUAAUGGUUGGUCUGCAACCGACUACACCAAAUGAAGAUACGGCAUCUCGGCAAUUCCAUCCUAUCAACUUAGGCAACAUCGAUCCCUACCGACUAACUGCAAAUCGAAUAUAGCCAUCAUACGAC
rnacentral:lncRNA from 1 species